ensembl:lncRNA
CAUUGCUUAUAUCUGGAUUAGAAAGAGAGAGGGAGAAGAUCAGUAUCACGACGACUGUGAGUACAUUGGAUUGCUUAUAUCGUUGUUUAUAUCUGGAUGAGAAAGAGAGCGGGAGAAGAUCAGUAUCACGAAGACUGUGAGUACAUUGGAUUGUUUACAUAUCAUUGCUCAUACUUGGAUAUGGAUAACUAAUAUCUGCUGGAGUGAUUAACAGCUUGUUGAGUGGCCCCAUCGUGGAGGACGAGACGAGUGGGUGAGCCGAAGUAGAGUGGGGGUGAAUGGAUGUUAUUUGGCUGUGGCCACACCGUAAAGUUUGGAGCACUUACCGUGCCAGCGACUGUAAACUCCUCCAGGACGAAAUCCGACCGGGCGUGGAGUACCGACCUUAAAAGUCACUGAAGUGUGUGUAGUGCAGUGGGUGAGUCUGUCUUUGACGUGUGUACACCGAAGUUUUGCAGUGCUGUGCCGUGUCCCUGUUGUCUGUACUCGCCCUCCAGGCCGAGAAAAGUUCCUGUUGGAGAGAACGUAGGCUGCCGUGGCGAUGCCCACCUAUCCCACCUACGCCCGCCUAUAACUCCGUUCCCCGUACCUAGCCUGAAGGAGGUGAAGCGUGAAUGCAAAACAAGGUAUUGUGUGGAUAUUGUGGGGAAAGCUAAAAGUUAUUGAUCUUGAAUACGCCCUGUAAGCCCAGCGUGAAGAUACAGUCACUUUGUUGAAUACUUACCUGUCUGUACGUGCUAAAAGCUAUUGACCUUGAAUACGCUCUGUAAGCCCAGCGUGAAGAUAGUCACUUUGUUGAAUACAUACCUGUCUGCACGAGCUAAAAGCUAUUGACCUUGAAUACGCCCUGUAAGCCCAGCGUGAAGAGUCAGUCAUCUUGCUCAAUACCUAUCUGUGCUACGAGUAAAAAGUUACUCGCUUCGAAUACACCGGUGUACAUCCAGGGGAAUGACUUAGUUACCUUGCUACAUCCUUACCUCUGUUACUUACCUGUGCCCUCAGGGACUUGUGUGUUACCUUGUACUUACCUAGGAGGUCUAUGGGAGUGGAGGAGCUGUCCAGACGCUGGAGAAGAGAAGGGCGCCACGGGAAAUCAAGCCGCUAAGGAAGGACUUAGGAUCAGUCAGGAGAUUGGUGGGAGUUCUGUGAAAGGACGAAAGAGCCCUUUGCCCCCCGUGAUAACUUACCAACGACCUCCAGAUUUCUCAGGCCCAGUCCCCUCCUGUCAAGAGACGAAAAUCCAAAUUUUAGAUUCCCCUUUCUCCUUUCCUAAAUUAUCUUUUUAAAUAAUUUAAAUAAAGUUGUUUUAAAUUAUCCUUAUCUCAUCUUGUGUGUCUGGUCAUUGGGGUGUUCUUGGGACCUCCUCGAGGUGGAAGCUAGGAAGGGGCGUGACUCGCAACACCUGUGGUCCGCUCCGACCUGUGACACAUACAUGAAUUUCCAACUGUGUUGUUGUCAAUGGAUUGGCACUUGGCAGUUUUGACAGUAAACAGAAAUGUUUAUUUUUAUUUAGCCUGACACUAUCCCCACGAUGUGUUUGUAAUCUUCCAUUUUGCAGCAUUAUAUAAGCAAGGUGAUUGUCAGCAUUGUGGUUGGUGUCUGUGCACAGCUGCAAGGAAUACUUCAAUAUGUACACUGUUUUCAUUAUAUGUUUAAAGUUAUUGUUUUUUAUUAUUUAAUAAUGUGGUUUCACUUUAUUUGAUGGUCCCUUUUGAAAUUUCUGUUGACUAGUAACGUUGCACCUACAUACCGGCUCUCAUUAGAGUGUUAGAAUAAGUUACUUGUAGUCAGUAAAACAUCUUUUGGGAAACCAUCAUAAUAAAGAGUUAGAAAUUAAGCAGACACACUGUAAACCCUAAUGUUGUCUUUACUUAAACAAUCAAGUAAUGUUGACUAAACAUUACUUAAAAUUGUGCAUUUUGGCCCUGUCACUCAAAAAUAUGAGUUAAUUUAACUUAUUUUCCUUCAAAAUGCAUAAACUUAAUAUUUCAAGUCUUGUGAACUCAAAAUCAUGAUUAAUCCUUUGGAAAAACUCAACAUCACUCUGUUCUUCCUUUAAUGUGAUUGGCCAUGCAAGGAAUUCUGCCUAGCAACAAGUGAACAAAAGCACUGAUUGGUGGAUUACAAAAUUGGUCCUUUUAGCCUCGUCUGUUCGGUAGGCAGCUGAUACCACAUUGAUUUCAAGACGGACGUUUUUCUUCGUGUACUAUGUUCGGUAAGUAAAAUUAUGUAGAUAUUAAGUUAUUUUGUUUGAUAUCUACUAGUGAAAUAUGUUAUUUUAAAUCCUUGUGGUACGUUUCGAUAAUAAAAGUAAACGCAGCCAUAAUUACAAUAUUUCCCAGACAAACUUUGCCAGCGUAGCCAUCAAGUAACGUAACACACACACACACACAUUUUGCCAACCUUGCCAUUAAUUAACAAUAUUUUCUAAGAUUUGGUGAUGGUAUGAUUAUUGAAAGGACAACUUAUUUCUUAUUUUACCAGUGAGGUAUACGUAUUUGAUGAAGUGGCCUAACAUUAAUGGUUUUCUUUUGAGAGAAAAAAACAUGGCAGUUAGACCAUGCGGGUUAGUUUUUCCCGGGCAAACUUUAUCAGUGUCGUUAUUAAUUAACAAUAUUUUCAGGAUAAUGUUCUCAAGGUAUCAUUGAGAAGUCGAUUUUUUUUUUUUUCAUAUUUUGACUUGUAAAGCGUAUUUGUAUAAAGUAUGAAUUGUAGGUUAACCUUGCUACUAUAGCUGAGACGAAUUAGGCUAGUGAUGUUUCAUAGAUGAAAUUACAGGCCAUCUUCACACUGGUCACCAGUAACGUAAUUAACGUUAGCUACAAAGUGAUUUAACUUUUUUUCAACUUUUUCUGUUACAGGUGACAUGAGAUAAGGAGAUGUGGAAAUGUAAGUAUUUCAUUUUUGACUCUGCAAAAAAAAAAAAAAAAAAAAUAUAUAUAUAUAUAUAUAUAUAUAUAUAUAUAUAUAUAUAUAUAUAUAUAUAUAUAUAUGUAAGAAAUAAAAUCAUGUGGUUUUACAACAAUUUGAGCAUGAGUAAAUGAAAAAAAAAUUUUUAGUGGUCUAACGUAUUCCUUUAACAUGAUAAAACAGCAGUAUUUCUUAGCCUCUUCAUUAUUUCCUAAUCAUUUCUUAGCCUGUAAAGCAUUUCUGUGUAAAAGAUUAUGUGACCUAGCCUUAUCUCCUCCAGGUUUGCAUGGAGUUCACCAGAAUUACAGACAAAAAUCUACAGCAGGAAUUCUAUGAAAACCUGGACAGACAGUUCACGGUUCAUGGACCUUUUUAAAACCAGAAGGGGGACUCCUGGUCAGCACUUGAAGUUUUUACAGAAAAUAGAGUUCAGUAAUUAUUUGUCUUAUUUAACAUAACUUAAAGGUACUGUAUAGUUCACCCUAAAAUGGAAAUUCUGUCACCAUUUACUCACCCACAAGUUGUUCCAAACCUGUAUAAAUUUCUUUGUUCUGCUGAACACAAAAGAAGAUAUUUUAAAGGAAUGUUUGUAACCGAACAAUUUUGGGGCACCAUUGACUUCCUUAGUAUUUCUUUUUAGUAUGUACAUGUCAGUGGUGCCCCAAAACUGCUUUGCUAUAAACAUUGUUCAGAAUAUCUUCCUUUGUGUUCAGCUGAGCAAAGAAAUUUAUACAGGUUUGGAACAACUUUAGGGUGAGUAAAUGAUAACAGAAUUUUCUAUUAUCCCUUUUAACUACCCUUUUUAAAAGUAUUUCAUUUUGUCAACAUGUAAUUUAUUUUAAUCUGUUUACUAUUUAAAGUAAUCUGUUAAGUAUGAUAGAUAAUCUUAAUUUAAUUAUCAUAACAAUGUUUAAAAUAGAUUGGCAUUAAUAGAAUUUCAUGUUUUCCUCUAAAGUCAGACCAGCCAACUGAGGUCCGAACCCUUGUUCUUCAAGGACUGACUAUCAUGCUGGGAAAUGAAGACUCUUCUUUCUUCAAGUCAUGUUUAGUAAGUACAUCUGUUUUAAAAAGGGAUAGUUCACCCAAAAAUGAUUACCCCAUGGUUUACUGACCCUCAAGCCAUCCAAUCAGAGUUAUAAUAAAAUUUAUCCUACCUCUUCCAAGCUUUAUAAUGGGAGUGAAUGGGGGAUGAGAUUUUGAAGCUGCUUUCAAGCAGUUCUCAAGCAUGUUCAUUCAGCGGCUUCAUUUCUAUUCGACAGCUUUCAGCCUCAACUACGUUAAUAAAUCAUUAGCUCAUCCAUGAACAUGAUUGCAUAUUGUACCUCUAAGGUACAUCAUACGUCACAUCACUUGU